rnacentral:other from 1 species
GGACUACUGGGGUGCAUGAUAACUCUUGUAAUUUUGAACCUACAUUUAUUUUUAUGGGAGACCGAUAUUUAUGAGCAGAUGUCAGGCCAGCAUAGACUGGAAGGCUGAAUCUUAUGUGUGGUUACCCACCUAGCUUGGCUAGGACUCAAAAUGCAGGAACCGGCAUUUCCGGUUGUUCU